rnacentral:rRNA from 1 species
AUUGAACGCUGGCGGCAGGCCUAACACAUGCAAGUCGAGCGGAUGAAGGGAGCUUGCUCCUGGAUUCAGCGGCGGACGGGUGAGUAAUGCCUAGGAAUCUGCCUGGUAGUGGGGGAUAACGUCCGGAAACGGGCGCUAAUACCGCAUACGUCCUGAGGGAGAAAGUGGGGGAUCUUCGGACCUCACGCUAUCAGAUGAGCCUAGGUCGGAUUAGCUAGUUGGUGGGGUAAAGGCCUACCAAGGCGACGAUCCGUAACUGGUCUGAGAGGAUGAUCAGUCACACUGGAACUGAGACACGGUCCAGACUCCUACGGGAGGCAGCAGUGGGGAAUAUUGGACAAUGGGCGAAAGCCUGAUCCAGCCAUGCCGCGUGUGAAGAAGGUCUUCGGAUUGUAAAGCACUUUAAGUUGGGAGGAAGGACAGUAAGUUAAUACCUUGCUGUUUUGACGUUACCAACAGAAUAAGCACCGGCUAACUUCGUG